rnacentral:pre_miRNA from 1 species
GAGAAAUUGUGUAGGCCUCUGGCCCGCACAAUUCCCAAUUGUGCGGGCCAGAGGCCUACACAAUUUCCC